GAGGGACAGGAGACGAUCAGCCAGAAGAACCUAAUUCAGAUUCUACAGAUUGGCCUCUGAGCCCUGUCAUGUUGGCUCUAAGAAUAACAGCACUGAUCCUAAUGAUUGUAAUCACUGUUCUUGUCAUCAGACACAGAGUGAACACAAAACCACUUGAUGACGACAAUGUGCAUCAGGAUGGCGACAAAGUCAAUUAUGAAACUGUAGAAGCACGUCCUGCUACUACUAGACUGCACUGAUCAACAACUUCCACACCAACGUCAGCUCACCAGAAAGUCAAAUAUCAUCACAGUCAUUUUUCCACAUGGACAACAAUACAG